AAAGAACUUCAGUAAAGUAACUUUUUACACUAGCGGCAUAUCAAGUUUUUUUUCUACCACCGUAUACCGUAAUGAAAGACUAAAAUAUGAUUUGACAGUAUGCACAAAACUCAUCCUUUCUCUCCGUUAGAGAUUUCGAUCACUCUUUGUGGAUAACCAAUUACGACUGGGAACUUAAGACAUAUUAUCAGAUAAAAGGUUUUUGUUGUGUCUCUUCUUUUUUAUGCUCCACAUAGAGGCAUUAUGUUUUCAUUGCGUCUGUCCGUUCGUUUGUCCAUCCGUUAGUUCGUCCAUUCGUUCAUUCGUUUGUCCACCUGUCACGCUUCGGGUUAAACUUUUAGUCAGGAUAGUCUUCGAUGAAGAUGAGGUUCAAUCAACUUGAAAAGUAGUGCACAUAAUCCCUAUGAUAUCAUAUUUUUUAUUUUGAUGCCAAAUUAGAGUUUUAAUCAAUUUCACGGUCCAUAGAAAAUAGAAAAUGAUAGUGCGAGUGGGACAUGCGUGUACUAUGGACACAUUCUUAUUUGUCAAAUUAUUGUUAGGUAUGAAUUUCGAAAAAUUAAAAAAUGUACAUAUUCAGAAAUUUGUAGUGGCUUUAAUUGCGACAGCCCAGAUUAAGAAUUAAAAAAGACUAGAUGAGUAUUAAAGAAAUUAUUUAUUUAAUAAAACGAUUGAAAGAUAAUAUGGCUGGCAAAAUGUCAUAUCUGCAGUUGUAUUUUUGUGACCAUCUGAAAGCGGUUCGGUUAGUGAAGUAUGACUUUUCUUUAGAUAACCUGCAAAUAAAAUCUUCAAUUCACCCUUUUCUAUUAAAUUCAAGCUUAAAGC
rnacentral:lncRNA from 1 species